GGUAGUAUUGGGCAGCAGAGGAAUGAAUUAUUUUCAUUCCCAUUCUUCUCUUUUUUCGGCCAGUAGAGAGAAACACAGAGAGGCAGUGAGUUCGGCAGUUCAGCAGAGGAAGAAAAACUCAUCUUUCUUCUUCCUCUUCUUUUGGCGUUCGGCGGUUCAUCAGCAGAAGGAACAAACUAUUUUCUCCUUCAUCUUUGGUGUAGUUUUGCCGUGCUAUUUUGUCGUGGGUUUGCCUAGCUCUUGGGUAUUUUCUUCAUCAAAUAUUUAGAGAGGAGCUGUUGAGACGCGAACACAAUAGAGGGCACGGUGGCAUUUCACUUAUGUAUGUUGUUAUUAUUGGCUUCAUCGGCAUUCUUCUUGGCUAUAUUUUGAAGAAGACAUAAGAAGCCAUGCUUGGUUUGCUUUCCUGCUGUAAUGUCAGCCCUCCAGAUGUCUGAAAAUUUUAGAACUAU